rnacentral:rRNA from 1 species
GAUGAACGCUGGCGGCGUGCCUAAUACAUGCAAGUCGAGCGAACAGACGAGGAGCUUGCUCCUCUGACGUUAGCGGCGGACGGGUGAGUAACACGUGGAUAACCUACCUAUAAGACUGGGAUAACUUCGGGAAACCGGAGCUAAUACCGGAUAAUAUAUUGAACCGCAUGGUUCAAUAGUGAAAGACGGUUUUGCUGUCACUUAUAGAUGGAUCCGCGCCGCUUUAGCUAGUUGGUAAGGUAAGGGCUUACCAAGGCAACGAUGCGUAGCCGACCUGAGAGGGUGAUCGGCCACACUGGAACUGAGACACGGUCCAGACUCCUACGGGAGGCAGCAGUAGGGAAUCUUCCGCAAUGGGCGAAAGCCUGACGGAGCAACGCCGCGUGAGUGAUGAAGGUCUUCGGAUCGUAAAACUCUGUUAUUAGGGAAGAACAAAUGUGUAAGUAACUAUGCACGUCUUGACGGUACCUAAUCAGAAAGCCACGGCUAACUACGUG